GAUGAACGCUGGCGGCGUGCCUAAUACAUGCAAGUCGAGCGAACGGACGAGAAGCUUGCUUCUCUGAUGUUAGCGGCGGACGGGUGAGUAACACGUGGAUAACCUACCUAUAAGACUGGGAUAACUUCGGGAAACCGGAGCUAAUACCGGAUAAUAUUUUGAACCGCAUGGUUCAAAAGUGAAAGACGGUCUUGCUGUCACUUAUAGAUGGAUCCGCGCUGCAUUAGCUAGUUGGUAAGGUAACGGCUUACCAAGGCAACGAUGCAUAGCCGACCUGAGAGGGUGAUCCGCCACACUGGAACUGAGACACGGUCCAGACUCCUACGGGAGGCAGCAGUAGGGCAUCUUCCGCAAUGGGCGAAAGCCUGACGGAGCAACGCCGCGUGAGUGAUGAAGGUCUUCGGAUCGUAGAACUCUGUUAUUAGGGAAGAACAUAUGUGUAAGUAACUGUGCACAUCUUGACGGUACCUAAUCAGAAAGCCACGGCUAACUACGUG
rnacentral:rRNA from 1 species